GGAGAGAUGGCAGAGCGGUUGAAUGCACCGGUCUUGAAAACCGGCAAGGGGUCAAACCCUUCCAGGGUUCGAAUCCCUGUCUCUCCGCCA
rnacentral:tRNA from 7 species